rnacentral:rRNA from 1 species
CAGUAGCCGCGGUAAAACGUAGGGGGCGAGCGUUGUCCGAAGUUACUGGGCGUAAAGAGCGCGUAGGCGGGUCUUUAAGUGAGGGGUGAAAGGUUCAGGGCUCAACCCGGACACUGCCUUUCAUACUGGAGACCUUGAGUGUGGGAGAGGCGAGUGGAAUGGUCGGUGUAGCGGUGAAAUGCGUAGAUAUCGAUCGGAACACCCAUGGCGAAGGCAGCUCGCUGGCCUAUAACUGACGCUGAGGCGCGAAAGCGUGGGGAGCAAACAGGAUUAGAUACCCGUGUAGUCCCUGUCUCUUAUA